AUUGAACGCUGGCGGCAGGCCUAACACAUGCACGUCGAGCGGAGCGGCGGACGGGUGAGUAAUGCCGAGGAAUCUGCCUGGUAGUGGGGGAGAACGUCCGGAAACGGGCGCUAAUACCGCAUACUAACAGAUGAACCUAGGUCGGAUUAGCUAGUGGGUGGGGGAAAGGCCUACCAAGGCGACGAUCCGUAACUGGUCUGAGAGGAUGAACAGUCACACUGGAACUUCGACACGGUCCAGACUCCUACUGUAGGCAGCAGUGGGGACUAUUGGACAAUGGGCGAAAGCCUGAUCCAGCCCUGCCGCGUGUGUGAAGAAGGUCUUCGGAUUGUAAAGCACUUUACGUUGGGCGGCGUUACCAUCUGAAUAAGCACCGGCUAACUUCGUGCCAGCAGCCGCGGUAAUAC
rnacentral:rRNA from 1 species